rnacentral:rRNA from 1 species
AUGGCGGGGCGGCAUGCGGCGGCGGUUUCCGCGUUCCUCUUCCUGCUGCUCGUGGGGCACUGCCACGGCGGCAAGACCGGCAUCUGCUACGGCCGCAACGCCGACGACCUGCCGGGGCCCGACAAGGUGGCGCAGCUCAUCCAGCAGCAGUCCAUCAAGUACGUGCGCAUCUACGACACCAACGCCGACGUCAUCAAGGCCUUCGCCAACACCAGCGUCGAGCUCAUGGUCGGCGUCCCCAACGCCGACCUCCUCGCCUUCUCGCAGUACCAGUCCAACGUCGACACCUGGCUCAAGAACAGCAUCCUCCCCUACUACCCGGCCACCGCCAUCACCCACAUCACCGUCGGCGCCGAGAUCACCGAGAGCCCCAUCAACGUCUCCGCCCUCGUCGUGCCGGCCAUGCGCAAUGUGCACGCCGCGCUCAAGAAGGUCGGCAUGCACAAGAAGAUCACCAUCUCCAGCACGCACUCGCUCGGGGUGCUCUCCCGCUCCUUCCCGCCGUCCGCGGGGGCGUUCAACAGCAGCUACGCGCACUUCCUCAAGCCCAUGCUGGAGUUCCUCGUGGAGAACCAGGCGCCCUUCAUGGUCGAUCUGUACCCCUAUUACGCCUACCAGAACUCGCCCAGCAAUGUCUCGUUGAACUACGCCCUCUUCUCGCCGCAGUCCCAGGGCGUGAUUGAUCCCAACACCGGAUUGGUCUACACAAACAUGUUUGAUGCGCAGGUCGAUUCCAUCUUCUUCGCGCUCAUGGCUUUGAACUUCAAGACACUCAAGAUCAUGAUCACCGAGACGGGAUGGCCGCACAAGGGAGCUCCCAAGGAGACCGGGGCGACUCCGGACAAUGCUCAGACUUACAACACCAAUCUGAUACGCCAUGUUGUCAAUGACAGCGGCACGCCUGCCAAGCCUGGGGAAGAAAUAGAUGUCUACAUCUUCUCCUUGUUCAAUGAGAACAGGAAGCCGGGCAUCGAGUCCGAGAGGAACUGGGGACUGUUCUCUCCAGACCAAAGCUCCAUCUACAGCAUAGAUUGGACUGGCCGAGGAAAUGUGGACAUCAUGACUGGAGGAAACCGUUCAAAUGGUACUUGGUGUGUUGCUUCAACCAAUGUCUCGGAGACGGCUCUGCAGAAUGGCUUGAAUUGGGCAUGCGGUCCAGGCAAUGUCGAUUGCUCUGCUAUUCAGCCAAGCCAACCCUGCUACCAGCCCGACACAUUGGUUUCACAUGCUUCAUAUGCGUUCAACAGCUAUUAUCAGCAAAAUGGAGCCACUGAUGUGGCCUGCGGAUUUGGUGGUGCUGGAAUGAGGACGACGAAAGAUCCAAGUUAUGACACUUGUGUUUACAUGGCAGCCGGCAGCAAGAUUAGCACCAAAAAUUCAACCGCCACUCCAACUCCAAGCGGCUCCAGCCCGUCACUGUUGGCCCAAUGCCGCACCCUUCUGCUCCCUGUGCUUCCCAUUGUGAUUGCCGUGGGCUUUCUGUGA